AUUCCAGCUCCAAUAGCGUAUAUUGAAGUUGUUGCGGUUAAAAAGCUCGUAGUUGGAUUUCUGUCAAAGGUAAGGCGGUCCAUCUUAUGGAUGUGCAUCUGCCUAUGCCUUGGCAUCCUCAUGAAGAACGUUUUCGCGCUUCACUGCGUGUUUGCGGUAUUCAUGACUUUUACUUUGAGGAAAUUAGAGUGUUCACGGCAGGCAAUCGCUUUGGAUACAUUAGCAUGGAAUAAUACUAUAGGACCUCGGUUCUAUUUUGCUGGUUUCUAGAGCUGAGGUAAUGAUUAAUAGGGAUAAUUGGGGGUCUUUGUAUUGCAACGUCAGAGGUGAAAUUCUUGGAUUGUUGCACGACAAACUACUGCGAAAGCAUUGACCAAGGAUGUUUUCAUCA
rnacentral:rRNA from 1 species